CCUACGGGUGGCAGCAGUGAGGAAUAUUGGUCAAUGGACGAGAGCCUGAACCAGCCAAGUCGCGUGAAGGAUGACUGCCCUCUGGGUUGUAAACUUCUUUUAUAAAGGAAUAAAACGAGGCACGUGUGCCUUUUUGCAUGUACUUUAUGAAUAAGGAUCGGCUCACUCCGUGCCAGCAGCCGCGGUAAUACGGAGGAUCCGAGCGUUAUCCGGCUUUAUUGGGUUUAAAGGGAGAGUAGAUGGGUUGUUAAGUCAGUUGUGAAAGUUUGGGGCUCAACCGUAAAAUUGCAAUUGAUACUGGCAGGCUUGAGUACAGUUGAGGUAGGCGGAAUUCGUGGUGUAGCGGUGAAAUGCUUAGAUAUCACGAAGAACCCCGAUGGCGAAGGCAGCUUACUAAACUGUGACUGACAUUGAGGCUCGAAAGUGUGGGUAGCAAACAGGAUUAGAUACCCCGGUAAUC
rnacentral:rRNA from 1 species